CCUGGUGGCUCAGAUGGUAAAGCAUCUGCCUGCAAUGCAGGAGACCUGGGUUCGUUAUCCCAGGGUCAGGA
rnacentral:tRNA from 1 species